UACGGGGGGGGCAAGCGUUGUUCGGAAUGACUGGGCGUAAAGGGCUCGUAGGUGGCCAACUAAGUCAGACGUGAAAUCCCUCAGCUUAACUGGGGAACUGCGUCUGGUACUGGAUGGCUUGAGUUUGGGAGAGGGAUGCGGAAUUCCAGGUGUAGCGGUGAAAUGCGUAGAUAUUGGGAAGAACACCGGUGGCGAAGGCGGCGACCUGGUCCGUGACUGACGCUGAGGCGCGAAAGCGUGGGGAGCAAACAGG
rnacentral:rRNA from 1 species